ensembl:lncRNA
CAACCGGGGAGGGAGGAGGGGGGAACUGGGCUUCUGACGUUAUACAAAUCGGAAUUCCCUUCCCCAUGCACACUCGUUCACUCACUCACUCACUCACACCCUCGCUCUAACCCCGUCUGGCUCCCAGACACUCUCUCUCUCUCUCUCUCUCUCUCUCUCUCUCGCUCUCUCUCUCUCUCUCUCUGUCUUUCACACACUCGCACACAUGGUGUCUGCGAGGCUGCCGGGCGCUCCCUCUGAAGACUCACUGCGAUCUCCAGGAGUUUUAGGAAGGGCGAGUGGGAAAAAGUGCAAAAAAAAGUAACAGGCAUCAGAGAGAUCCUUUAUCUUAAAGUAGAAGUUGAUCCCUCCUGAAUGAAAAGUCAAGCUGAUCCUGAGACAGAGCUCAACUUCAUGUCUGACCUCAUCUAGGCCUGUCAUUGAGAAGCUAUUUUUAUAAGGUCACAGGAAGCCUGGUCACUGCGAACCGCUACAGGACGAAAGGCAACCACAAUGAUCUGCAACUGCAUGACAAAGACAAGACUCACGUGAUCUUAACGCAGUACGAGGAGCCGACCAGAGACCAGCGCCUCAGCUAGGAUGACCUCACAUGUGUGCACACGCACCCCCCCCCCCCCCCCCCCCCGGUACCUGCUGCUGGCCAGGGGAAUUCCUGGCAGAGUGAUUUUUAACCUUAAUGACUGAAUCACAUUGCCAGGGAUUUCCAAUGGCUGGUAUGAAGAAAGCGACCCAGACGGUGCACGCUUCCCCUCGCAGACCCAGACACACGCACACACAUGCACAACUACACAUAAACAUGCAGGCUCUUAAUCCUGCUGGAAUGUGUGUGUGCCAUGCCCACGUGAAUACUGCAAGGCGCCGACACACCCUCUUGAGCCAGUACGUGCAUGCAAAAAGCCACUUGUAUGCACACACACAUUAAUGCAUAUACACAUAUCAUAAAAAUAUGUAGUAUUGCCUCUUGGCUCCGUGGUAGCAGGACUUACCCACAUGUGAACAGUGUACUAAACCUCCAUGUUCACAGUGGUUAAGUUCUGCCCCCAGGGUCAGCAUACGAGUCCAGACAGGAAGAGGGCAAUAAUGCAGUAAUUCACAAGCAUCUCCCAAACCAUUGCCCUGAUCUUGAUUUUUUUUUCUUUAUUAAACAUAUUUCUGAAUAUAAUAUCAUAUUUCUCCCAGCUAAUAGAAUAUAGUAUUAGAAUAGUUAGCAGGUAUUCAAAAGGUUCUUUGAAGGUUAGGCUGUAAUGUUCUUAAUAAAUAUCCAACAGUAAGGGUUUGCUUCACAAUGUUAUUAGAGCACAACUCAGACAACACUCCAAGUUAGUCAAAAACAUUAUGGAAACAUCAACAUUUCUAUGUUGCAGCAACGUUGUAGGAACGUUUAUAAAUGUUAUAUAAAACCUUCCCAGAAAAACUUGACGUUCUUUUAACCACGGGUGUUCAAUGAUUUUUUUUAAAUGUCCUUGUACCUAAAAUGUAUAUAUAUAUAUAUAUAUAUAUAUAUAUAUAUAAUUAUUUUCCCUCAGUCAUAGUAUGAGUUACUUUCUUUAAGACUUAAAAAAAAUUCUACUUUUGACACAUUUUCACAUUCUGCAUGUGCAUUAAAAUUAUUUUUUUUUUUUUUGCACACUCAAUAUAAUACUGCUGACUUGAUAUUUCACCCAGAAAUCUCACUCUGAAGUUGAAUUGUGUCUGUGGUGUCUGUGGCAGCAGUCUGCUGUCUUGUUUUGUGCGUUCUGUGACGUGUACCAGUUUCAGAUAGUGUCUUUAGUAAAAGUCUGUCAUGCAUCAGUUUUCCUUUCAAAGUGCUGCGGAACCCAGACAAGUCAGUCAGGCGAUCAUAAAAGCUGUUUGUCUGCACGAACACCCAGAGCCGGAAAGAGUGGAAAGAGUCCUGAGGAAAUAUUCAUCGAGCUGCCAAUCUGCCUUUAGAAAGGGAAAACACAGUAACCAACAAUAAAUGUAUGAUUUGAAAAUAAAAAGACCUUAACUGUAUUUAAAAAUUACCUUCAUUACAUUUUUUUUGUAAUGCACUACCACAAUUUUUAAUAAAUGGUUUCAGAAUGGAAACACGUUGUACUGAAAAGUACAGAAAUAAAUUCUAAACAAAUUUUCCUUGUUUAUUUUGAGCAAAAAGAAAAAGAUAUAAUGCUAUGAAGCAGAUUUUGCAUAGUUAUAUUUACACAAAUAAUUGUGCCCAUGAUAAUAUAAGUAAGUAAGCAAGUCAUUUAGAAGUACAAGUAAGUAAACAUUACCCCUUGCCUCUCAACACCAAAUGCCCAAGCAAAUAAUCUUUAAUAAUUAUAAUUGCUUGAAAAUCUUCCAGAUGCUCAGGACAUUUCUUAACUAGUACUUUCGGACUACCACACCUAAAAUAUACCGGUCUAUGUAUUCUCACACUCUUGUGUUAUUCUUGGACCUGACACCUGUAGGUGUGUAUGGUAUGUCUCCAUGGCUGACUAUGUGUGCAUCUAUCAGGUGUGGUUUUAGGAGACUGAGGCAUUUUGUUUUGUUCUUGUUUUAUUCUUGUGUGGUUUCUGGAGACCAGAUAUAAUACAACAUUGACGUUCGUGUACGAGUGUGUGCAGCCGACGUCUCGCAGAACGAGUGCAACUUUUUGCAUGCAAGAUCUGGGCGUGCUCAGUUUAUAAUCUCUGACAUGAUGUCUCCUUCUCUGUAGUACGGAGUAAAUUUACUAUCCCAGUGUAUCUGGUGUUCUCUGUUCUUCCACGUGAUGUAAGAAUUGCAAUUUUUCUUCAUUCUUCUGAUAACUGAGUGAACAGUUAUCUAGACGUGUCUGUUUACAAAGCACAACGGGGGGGUGGGGGUUGGGUGGGGCAAAACAAGAGGGGUUGUUUGUAGUGCUAUACAGGGCCGAACAAUGAGUCCAGUGGAGAAGAAAAAGGAGAAAAUGAAAUAUAAUACACCACAAGUAUAAUACACAGUAAAAGACAGGAUGGUGGAAAAACAGCACACACACACAGGGUUUUAUUGUGUAUUGUCAUUUUUAUGCACUAAUUUGGAUUUGAUAUUUUAUUUUUUAUACAUGUAUUUUAUUGUGUGUGUGUCAGAGAGAGUGUGUCCAUCAAAUGUAAUCUUCUAUUGUAACAAUAAAAAAGCAGGGGGGAAACAAAUGCAUAAAAAUCUAUAUGUGUAAAAAAAUAAAAUUAAGUAUGAAGCUCAAUAAUUGUAAUAAUAAUGAUAGUUAUUACUAUUAUUAUUAUAAAACUUCAUACUUAAUUGUAUUUAUUUAUUUAUUAUAACAUUACACACACACAAACACACACACACACACACACUUUCUCCUGUCAACACCAUCUUUGUCAUCUUAUCUACCUAUCUAACAAGACUGGCACACUGGCUUUCUAUUUUCUAUACAUCACUAAACUGAAGAAAUUUAAAGUACUAACCAAAUCUAAUCUAAAUGUAAAUAUGUUAAUUCUGGCUGCUUUAUAUUAUAAUAUGGUUAAUCUCUCAACACAACUACACAAAAAGACAGGAGUUAUUUCUCUGUAGUGCAGUGAAUUUGGAAGCUCACAGAUUUCUCUCUCUCUCUCUCUCUCUCUCUCUCUCUCUCUCUCUCUCUCUCUCUCUCUCUCUGUUACAGUGUGUGCUGGUGCUCCUUUCUCUCUGGUCUGUAUCAGUGGGCUGGUCUCCUGUGCCUGCUCUGCUGAUAAUCAGUGUCUCUCUUCAGCUGGCUCAGUUCAGCAGGAACAGGGGCCUGGUCUUGCCAACAUAACACCUUAGAGACACAUAUCCACAUCCACCCACACACACACACACACACACACACACACACACACACACACACACACACACAGAUGCACGCCACCAGACGUACAUUCUGGGAGAAUCCAUACUCCCGCACCUUCCACAGCUGGGAUCCAGAGCGUGAUGGCUAUAUACAGUUGAUUUAAGUUAUGAAUGUGAUAAUGUGUGAUAAUAAUACUAUAGCCUACCAAUUAUGGACUGGCGCCAGUGACAUCAAUAAAACUGAGACAUCAAUAAAAGCUAAGAGGCUCUGAGUCAAAUUAAGUCUGUUGCGUGUAUUUCCUUGUGAUCUGAGAUUAUCUGAAAUGAGUCCAAAGCUUCAAGGCGUUCACUGUCUCUUCGGCUGCUACAGUGUGUCCGCUUGAUCUUUGUAGAGCUCUGUUUCCACCAUGAAAGCAGUUAAAAAACUGCUUUUUUUUGCUUUUUUUUAAAAAAGAAAAAAAAGAAAGAAACACCGGUGUGGGCGACCAUGGAAACCGAAAUACAUAUACACUCAUUUGUGCCGGCUUGGCAAACAAAGAGGAAGUGACGGCUGUGUUUGAAAAUCAAUCCACAUCCAAUAAUGCCUUGGCCUGGUUAUUCAAAGAUCAAAAAAUGUCCAUGUAUUCAUGUAUGUAGAGUAGUAAUAUAGGCUAUUCAUGGACCUACAUAGCCAUUCACACAGAAUAAAACAAUUCAGAAGGGAUUACAUGUGGUUCUACUGUAGAACAAAAGCCCACUGGCACCUUGAACACAAUAAAUAAAUGAUGCACAAUUAAAGGGCUGUUUGAAAUGAAAACUAAAUAUUCCGUAGCAACGUUGAAAAGGGAAACCCAUCCUCUCACAAUGAUUAGACGCAUUAUUGCAUUUUCAGUAAAACACACUAGACUACACACCCUGCUCAAUAAAUAAAUAUCAGUCAGUAGGAUCACAUUUAGUCAGCAGUUUUUUCUAUAAAGGAGUCUGUUUUUAGUAGUGACAGGAAAUGUUCCUAGGAAAACCAUUAACGUGCAGGUGUGUUCCUGUGAUAAUAUAAAUGGUUAAGUGUGUACGUGUGUGUGUGUAUGUGGAGGGGGGCUUCAGGUCCGGAUGUUUGCUUACACCGCAGCCGUUGCCAUAGUGACAGAGAAAAAAAAACUGGCCCUCAGCAUGAGCAGUGGCUGCGUCAAUGUGGAGAGUGACAUCACUAAACUUCCUGUUUCGAAGAAAGUCACCCGUUGCUUGCUCGCUGUCAUUCACAAACGUUCGCCCUGUUUCUUUCAUUUUCAAUCGUAGACACGCACUUCCCCUGUUACUGCUUUGUGAUCUCUUUUUACACAACAAAGACAGCCGAGAAACUACAACCACAUAAAAAUGUCAGUAGUUUUUUGCAGGUUUACUAUUCACAAAAAGGAUUUUGCAUACAUUACAAAUGUCCUGUUAUAAAACCAUGGAUACAAAUGUCACAUUUCUAAAUAUGGAAUGUAACUAAGAUUAAAUAAUAUAAAUAAUAAAACAAGAUCAAUAACACAACACUGCUCUGCUUUUAUCAUUGCGUACUUUAUUAAGCCAGUUAAAUGAAUAUGAUCAAUUAUUAGGGCUCAUCUGACCAGGUCUUCCCAAAGCAGUUGUAGCUACAUUUACAAAAUGCCUAAAUAGAUGACACAAAGAUGGCUUUGAGUAGUAGAAUAUGUCAAAUGCCACCUCUUUCAUUUUACUGGAUGCUAUAAUAGUAUGGGAUGGAUUCCAAACACUUUUCCAUUUGAAAUCGUGCACGGGUUUGUCCCAGAAAGGAAAACACGGAAGAGUCAAAUUGGUGAGUGAAGGAAUCGUUUUUGAGGAAUCCGAGUAGAAACAGAUUUCAACCCUGGCACAAACACUACUGGACUUCUAACCUAAUCUCUCUGGCUUAUACACACCUGCUGACACCUUUUCAGGUCUGUGAAAAGGCGGCAAUCACCAUGGGAACACAACAGGUAAAUACAAGCUGCGAUAAGGGUGUGAGGACGUCGUUCUCUGAGCAACACACACACACACACACACACCAACAGACGCACCACACCCCACAGCUGGAUAACGCUCUACUUUCCACCUUUGGCUCUCUCUGUUUCCGCCAUUAUGAGAUAUAAUUGCCAUUACUGAUGCAGUGGCAGACGCUGUACUGCACGACAUUAUGAUAGCGUGACAGCAACUCACUGCCUCAGGCAUUCAGUCUCCAAACACAACACAAGUAAGCAUAUCUCUUACAGUUAAACACAUACACACACACACACACACACACACACACACACACACACACUGUGUAUAAUCUCAGUUCUGUGACACUCUGCUAAGCAAGUCGAAAGUGAUUGUAGUUCCACUUCACGCAGUACUAAGACACACUCUCCUCCACUACUUUUAAUAAAGUUUUCCACAAACACUGGCUCUAUCAUAUGAAGGUUAGGAAAAAUCCAUCAGCCCGGGUCGGUAAGCUAAGGCCAGGCCCUGAGCAAACACACGUUACUGUAAUGCAAACAGUGGCACUAGGAGAAGCGGCCCAUUAGUGGUAAACUUGAUGCAAAGCCACAGAGAGGGGGAGGAGGGCGGCGGCUUACUGGAAACAGGAGAGCUGGGAAAAAAUGAGCCGAGCCCUCCAUAUGUAGAAAGAACUUGGUUUCAAGGGAAAAGGCUGCUAGUCAGUGACACAUCCUGCAAAAUGGAAUGGGAUGAUAAAGGUAUGAAUCCAGCAGCACUGCAGGCCAUGUAGUAAAUAAAGAGCAAUAUUGUUAGCCUUAAAUUAUUUGGUUAGAAAUCUUUCUCUAUAAUAUUAUAGAUUGUUGUUUCCGACUUAUUACGAGAAUUUUCUCCUGGGAUGUUUGUUUAAGGGGCAUGCCAUUUUAUUUGCCAUUGUCAAUAAUGAUACAUCAUUACAGACAGUGAACCCACUAUUAGAAAUUUCCUAAUAAUGCUACAGUAUACGGUUCGUACAAUUUAAGUACAAUUUACAUAAAGAUGGCGUGGGAGAUAUUAGUGCCAGAGCUGUACAACUGCGUGCUUUAAAGAGUACACUUUGUACGUACAACUGCCAUACUUGAUCAACAAGAAAAACUGUGUCUACACAGUUCUGAUGCAGGUCGGGUAAAACCGCGGUUAACUCAGGUAAGUAAGAAGAUCCAAAGCUGAGACUCGCACAACAGCCACUUGAUCCGGGCUCCUGGAAGAUUGGAAGAACUCCACACUUACAUUCCAGACAGAACACACACGCGCACACACCACACACACACACACACACACACACACCACACACACACUUUCUCCUGCCAACACCGUCUUUGUCAUCUUAUCUACCUAUCUAAAAAGACUGGCACCCAAACACUGGCUUUCUCUUUUCUAUGCAUCACUAGACAAAAAUGCACACAAGCCCACAAACUGAUAACCGCAAGACUCUUUAAUUAGAGUCCCAUAACUACUGUGCAUAUCUCCAACCAUUAUUACUGAACAAAGGAAAUCAACAUUUGCUUUCUGGACACACACACACACACACACACACACAAACACACACACAAACA